rnacentral:snRNA from 1 species
GGGUGUGAGGAACAUCUGGCUCUAACAACUGUCGCCCCACUGAUGGACAAGGUGCCCGCUGAUCAUGGCCCCGUGUACAUGCAUUACCCCCACCCCAAAGCCACACGUUCAGCUGAGGAGGAUGGAGGUCUCUGAUAGAGGAGCACCAUUCUUCUCACGAGUCUAUGAAUGGCUGUGGUCCCCUGCUAGAACCUACAGACAAGCUCUCAAGAUAGUCAAAGGUGAGUGAACCAUCUACACACCUGUGACUAUCUCCUCCCACGCCUCGCGUCAGGA